AUUAAACUUAUUUCUCAUUAAUUUGAAAUUUCCAACCAUUCUAGUAUUCUUUUAAAAGCAACUUUAUUAUACUCUAAAUAAAAAUCUAAUGGCGUUUAAUUUGAAAUAAACUAUAACAAUUUCAUAGUUAUUUAAAAGACAACUCCCCCACACCCCAAUUAAUAGUAUAUAUUACAUUGAUUAGGUUUCUUUCCCUAUAUAUCUGCUAUAUAUAUUGACCAAUGCCAAUAAGUAAACAAAUUACACUUUGAUUCGCUAUUAUACAGACACUUAAAGUACAUUACCAUUUACCAUUAGAUCUUUCUUUAUUUACCAAAAAGUUAACUAAACGUGUCUUGUGAAACGUCGACUCUUAGUUUUUGGUUUCUUCUUUUUCGAUUACAGACAAAUUUUGAUUUUGUUUGUUCUCAUCAAACACAAAAUCUCCAUUCAAGGUAGUUCUAUUCUACGUUUUAUUUCUCUUUUAUUAGAUUUUUAUUUUGUUUCUCUUAUUCUAGUUUAAUUCUCUUAUUUUACUUUAAGUUUAGAACAUUGUUUUUGUGUAGUUUUUUUUAUACCAAAUCUCUGGUCCUCCGUGUGAAGGCUGCAGCUGUGCUGGCAUUUUGUGCCAACCUCGAUUUCCAGGGUUUCGACUUGCUCCGAGGAAAAGAAGUGAGAAUAAAAAAGAAUUGCUAAAACAUUUGUUG